AAAGUCGUAACAAGGUUUCCGUAGGUGAACCUGCGGAAGGAUCAUUACUUUCAGUACUUCUGAGGCUGUCAGUCUAUACUUGUAUAGCAAGCCUCUGUCUGAACCCUUGUCUUUUGCGUACCUAUGUUUCCUCGGUGGGCUUGCCCGCCGAUUGGACAAUACAAAAACCUUUUUAAUUUUCAAUCAGCGUCUGAAUACAUAUAAUAAUUACAACUUUCAACAACGGAUCUCUUGGUUCUG
rnacentral:misc_RNA from 1 species